ACAACUCCUUUCCAUGGGUCUGAGUUAUGACCUCCCAAGCAUAUUCUGGUCUUGUUAGGUGAGGGGUUCGUGAAAAGCGGGUCAGAUCGACGCAGGGUCCCCAUCACUAGCCCCCUGAAUUGUAGCUCCGAUCUCACACCGCGCUUGCACGCUUCCGCAUGGCGUCAUCGCCUGUCUGUCAUCCUCCUUUUCUCACCGCAACCGUAUCGAGCUUUUCCUCCGC
rnacentral:lncRNA from 1 species